GGGGAGCCAGAGUGCAGGAGGAAUGGAAGAGAGCCCUGAUCAAAGCCAUUGCCCCAGAUCCUGUCACUGCGUCAGCUCAGGCAGUUUGAAAUCCACAGGCUCAUAGAACAGUGAGGUUGGGAAGGACCUCUGGAGAUCAUCGAGUCCAACCCCCUGCCGAGGCAGCGUCACCUAGAGAAGGUCUCACAAGACCACGAUGUCCAGUGCUGUCCCUGAGCACCCCUGACAAAGGAAAUUGCUCUGCUGCCAGCCCCGUGCAGCUCCUGCAGCAGCUGGGUGCCACCAGGCUCGCUCAUCCAUACCCUCCCUGCUUUGUGUUUGCUGUCCCCUUGGUCCCGUUCGGGGCUGAAACCCUUCCAGCCUCCAGCUGCCAACUCAGUCGCAGGGAAUUGUCAGCAGCAGGAGACACUUCUGUGGCGUGAGGGUGCUGUAGCCUGGAGCAGGCUGCCCGCAGAGGCUGUGGAGUUUCCGCUGGUCACUUUCAGACCUCUCUGGCUGUGUUCCCAUGCGUCCUGCCCCCAGCAGGCUCUGCAGGGGCUUGGACUCGUUGCUCUCUGGAGGUCUCCUCUGCGAGGCUCCUCCAGGCCCUUCCUUCAGCGAAACUCCUCCGUCCCCCCCCGGGCUUUCUCCGUCCGUGGCUGAGGGCGCGGGGGGUGGCGGUGCUGGGAUCCCGCAGCUGAGAGGCUGCGGCUCCUUCGCUGUCUCCUCCCCUUCCUGAGCCGCGGCGCCGGGCUGUGGAAUGAGCGGCAUCCGUGCGAGGGAGCUGGCACCGGGAGCGCGCCGCGGGUGCCCGGGCAUGGCACACGGGCAGGGACGGACCCGUGCGGGACCUUCCCGCAGCGCUGCCUGAGGGCCGGCGGCCGCCGCUGCCGGGCUCCCUGCCGGUCCUGGGCGGGGGCUUCCCGGUCCCAAGGACUCCAGGACCGAAGUGCUCUCGGGGGACUUUCUUCUCCGUCUUUCUCGCUCCCGCCUCCUCCCGGAGCGCUGCCGCGCAGGGACCCCGAUGGGGCAGCCGCAGCUCUCCAGACCCCUGAGCCCCGCAGCGCUUGCAGAAGAGGUGGAGCAGCCCCCAGCUGAUGGCAUGGGGGCAGAAGUGCUGGAGUCGAGUGACACCACACCCCCCACCAAGAGGAAGAGCAAGUUCCCGAGCCUCGGCAAGAUCUUCAAACCCUGGAAGUGGAGGAAAAAGAAAAGCAGUGACAAAUUUAAGGAGACUUCAGAAGUCCUAGAGCGAAAGAUUUCGAUGCGGAAGCCGCGGGAGGAGCUGGUGAAGAGAGGAGUGCUGCUGGAGGAGCCUGAGCAGGAUGGUGAGGACUCAGAGAAGCUGAACCUGCCUGCACUGAAGAAUGGCCACACGGUGCCCAUCGGUGGGCCUGGGGUUUGUAACCAGGAGGAGGAAGCCACCAAGCCCCCUGGCCUCAGGAAGCCUGUUCCAGCUGAGGAGGCCAAGAAGAGGCAGGGCUCCUCCAGCAGCCACUCCGGGCCCGAGCUGGAGCCACCCCAGGAGCCCAGGCAGCCUCUGCUUCCGCCCAAGAGGCCUCCCUCUGCUGCCCAGGAGGCAAAUGAAGCCCAGGGGAAGGAGCCAGCACCUGCCAGCAGCACUGCAAAGCCUGCACCCUGCAGCACAGCCCCCACAGCAGCAAAGACUCCCAGUGCCACCACUGCCCCUUCCCCAGCCCCCAGGACUCUGCCCCCAGCUCCUGCCAGUGCCAACACUGCUGCUGCCACGAGCACAACCAGCACAGCCCCUGCCAAGCAGCCUCCUGUGCCUCCUCCCAAACCUGUCAACAGGAACAGCUCGGUGCUAGCAGAGCUCUCCCAAGCCAUGGGCACUGCCCCAGGCCUGUCCAAGCCUUCCCCUCCUCUGCCACCAAAGCGAGGCCUCCUGCCCAGCAACCCAUCGGAGGCAGCAAUGACUUCCAAGCCCCCUCAGGAGUGGACAGUGCCAGGCGGCCGCCCCACACUGGUGCCCAUGUACAACCCUCCUGCCUACCCCCCGCCCUCGCCCUCGCCGCCGCUGCCCACACACGUGCCCCCCGAGCCUCCCCGCCUGCCCCUGCCUGCCUCCACCUCUGCCUUGGACCCUCCACACUCCCUGGACCUGCCCAAAGAGACUCCUCCUCCUCCUCCUCCUGAAGACUUCAGGUCCCUGGAGGUGUCCAAGAGGACAGCAGAGCAGGGCCUGGGGGAGCCCCAGGUGCCAGCUCGCCUGCCCUCCGUGCCACUGCACAUCCGCAUCCAGCAAGCUCUCACCAGCCCCCUGCCUGCCACGCCGCUGCCCGAGGGCUGCCACCGGGCACACUCGCUGCUGUUCGAGAGCGAAGGCACUGGAGAGGACAGCGGCAGUCUGGGCAGGACCAGGUCCCUGCCUGUCACCAUCGAGCUGCUCAAAGUUCCAGACGAUGAGGAGGAGGAGGAGCAGGAGGAGGAGCAGAGCUCAGGCCCCCGCGUGUACGUCGGAGAGGUGCCAGGUGUCAGUGCCAUCCCCACACGGGUAGCCCAGGCCCUGCCUGAGGAGCAGGAAGGGGACGCAGGGAUGAGCGACUCAGACUCGGAGGGACCCGUCCUGUACAGAGACGAGGAUGAGGAAGAGGAGGAUGAAAGCCACAGCAGCACCUUGGCCAACAGGGUGAAGAGGAAGGACACCCUGGCCAUGAAGCUGGGCAGCAUAGGCAUGCUGCAGGAGGAGAAGGUGCCCUUCCCUCGCAAGAGCAGGGAGGAGUGGAACGAGAUCCGGCAGCAGAUCGGGACCACGCUGAUCAGGAGGCUGAGCCAGAGGCCCACAGCCGAGGAGCUGGAGCAGAGGAACAUCCUGCAGCCCAAGAACGAGGCUCUGCGGCAGGCGGAGAAGAGGGAGAUCAAGCGCAGGCUGACCAGAAAGCUGAGCCAGCGGCCGACGGUGGCGGAGCUGCAGGCGCGGAAGAUCCUGCGGUUCAACGAGUACGUGGAGGUGACGGACGCGCAGGACUACGACCGCCGCGCCGACAAGCCCUGGACCAAGCUGACGCCAGCCGACAAGGCUGCCAUCCGGAAGGAGCUGAAUGAGUUCAAGAGCUGUGAAAUGGAAGUGCAUGAGGACAGCAAACAGUUCACCAGGUACCAUCGACCAUAAUGAGACUUGAGGGGAGUGGAGGUUCUCUGCGUCCCUCUUACUUGCAAUGCAGCGCAGCUGAGCCCUCUGCUCUUCCAAGAUUUGCCUUCAGAACACAUCCAGAAAAGGGCUUUUGGCCAGGGAAGGGCAAUCCUGUCUGAAUGUAGCAUCUCACUGGAACAAACACUUCUCGAGUGCCACCAGGCCGGGCCUGGCCAUGCCUGGCACAGCUCCGCUCCGCACCCUGCCAGGAGCCCCUGUGGAAGAGCACAGCCUGGGCCUCUCUCAGCACCCAGCACAGCUCCCAGCUGUACCAACUCCUUCCCUUCCUCCUCAAAGGGAGGGGGGCUCAGGAGCGAAGCAAAAGGCAGCUCUAGCGCAGGGAAGCUGAGGACUGCGGAGUGGCUGUGCUGGGAAGCAGCCUGCACUCAGCGGCAGAGCCUGGCAGCCCCCAGCCUGGCCCUCAGAGCUGCCUGGGCUUUGCUCGUGUCCCUGUCGUGCCCUCCGUGCCCUGCAUCACUACUGACCACUGCUCUGUUGUCCUGGAAGGGAACUGUACAGAAGCAAACAAAUGCUGCAUCCUUUUGUGAAACACAGCCCAGGGCACAGCUGAACUGUGCAGAGCAUUCCCUGGCCCCUGGCUCUGAGGUGACAGCCCCGGGGGCACUGCGGGUGGAAGAGCACAGCCAGGAGCAGUGCCUGCUGCCUGCCAACAGCCUUCUGGCUGGGGAAGCCCUCGGGAGUGAACUUUCUCCUGUGGCUUCCUCUCAGAUGUUUUUUACUUCCCCACAUCAGUGUCAGCCUUGCCUCUGCUCGUUUUUAUAGCUAACCCUACUGGAAACUUGACGAUUUCACUGUGUGGGUGGCAGGGAGGGAAGAUGAGGUUUGAAAAGUGACCUUAAAAAGAUGCUCUUCGAGCCUGCUCCCAUCUUGGUUCUUCCUAAGGGUGGGAGGUUCAGAAAACGCCUCUGGCCAUGGCCACUCGCACCACGCACGAACUCCAGCCCCCGUGUGAGAUGCCACUGAGCGUGAAGCGGAAUAAGGGCGGAGAGGAGGAUUUGCCUUCUUCCCAAACCUGCCUCCGUGGCUCUGCCGCCGGGCGCCUAGCCCUGUGCCAAGGCCGAGGUCCAGCGCCCCGGGCUGCCCUCUGCCUCAGGCGGCACGGGGCAGGGAGCCUGCCCUCUCGGCGUCCCUUGUACAGCGCCCCUGUAGACUGGAUGAUUGCAUUGUAUAGCAGCCUCCUCAGCAGCAGGUUUUAAUUAUUGAAUAAAAGUAUUUUAGGGGUUUUGUAAGCGUGGUCCCGGGGCUGCUUCCUCCGCCGGGAGCGGGCACCAGCGGCGGCCUGGCGCAGAGCGGCGCAAGAUGGCGCCGGGGAGCGACCUUCCCGCCCUGCUCCCGCGCCGGCGCCAACGGCCGCGGCCGGCCGGAAGCGCCGCGCGGCUCACCCCCUGCGCAGUGCGCAUGCGCCUUUAGUCCCGCCCAGUGCCUGCCGCGCGGUGCGCACGCGCCCCUAGCCCCGCCCACCAUCCCUCUAUAAAUACUGGCGCGCGGCAGGUCUGGGCCUCUCUCUCCGCGGCGGCUGCGGCGCAGGUCUAAGCAUGCGGACGUUGGCGUGCAACGAGUGUGAAGGUGGUGACUAAUGAGAUGCUAACAGAGUGAUCCUAUCUAGCAGGGUGAGUAUGAAGUGCAGCAGACCCAGCAGCAGAGGGGAUAGCUGAAGUUUGGUGCAUGCAGUCAAAAUUGUAUUCAGGGAUCAGAAGGGGCUGGAAGCAGGGAAGGAUUCCAGCGUUUGCGGCCUGGUGGCACUAGCUUAAAUGCUGGGGAUUGCCUGUUCAAUGGCCUUCAGGCAACGACCAGGAGUGGUGGCUUGGUGCAGCUGCUGAAGGCUGUGCGCUGGAGGAGGGCCUGGGGCUGAGGCUGUGGGCAAGCUACACCCCAGAGGAGCACAUGAAGCCACAGGGCUGUGGUGAAAUUGGGACCCAGGCCCCUAGAAGGCACCACAGUGCCUGGUGGUGCUCUGCCCUGGCCCACUGGAAGGAGCCACUUAGGACAUGCUGCUAACGAGUGGUGCCAGAAGAUGAGAGGCCACAUGUUGUCAGCUGGCCUCUUGACCGACGGCGGUGGAGCCACCCUUGAUGCCAGCUGCUGAAGAAGGUGUGGCCCUGUGCGUGGGGUGCCUUGGGGAGCUGAUCCUGGAGGGGUGGCUCGAGGCAUGGAGGCAAGCAGCAAUUGCUGUGUUACUGGAAUAAAGGCCUUAGUGUGGAGCUGAAUAAACUGCUCUGGUGUUCAUGUC